GACAACACAUAAACUGUGAGUUUAAAUACAAAUAUUGUCAUCUAUACAAUAUCCACACUCAAAUAAGUCCUCAUUACAAUUAUUGAUACACUAUUUUACAAAAUGGUGAGGACUAAUAAAACAACUUCUAGAACCAUCAUUCCAUACCCUGACUAGUACUCGCUACAUUCUCGCCUCCUGAGAAGAAAAAUGGAACAAAAAAAAGGGUGAGCUCAACUAGCCCAGUAAAGAAUAUUAUGACUAAGAUAAUAUAGAACAAAUUAUCGUUAGUAUUCAACAGAAAAAAAUUUGAUAGAAUAUAAUAGACAACAAGUUUCAGAUCAAUAUUCGUAGCGGAAAUAAUAAUUCAUAGAAGAGUUACGUAGAGAAUGAAAUCUACUAUUAUCUAUGAAUUUAAAAGUCCAUCAUCAAUAUUUUAUCCCUGCAACAUCAAUCAAUAUACAUCAUAGAUCAAAUAUUCAUCUUUGAACUACAGGCCAAAGAUAUUCAUCAGUUGAUCAUGUUCAUCUCAACACCUGUACAUCUUUGCACUACGGCCAAAGAUAUUCAUAAGAAAAUCAACCAUCUUUGCACUACAAGCCAAAUAUAUUCAGUAAUAUCAUCAUUUAGGACUGAGGAUGAUGAAAAAUAUUUUAAAGAAAACGAAUCGAGUAAAACAAAAGAACAAAUAUUAAGGAUUCGUACUUUAAACAAUCCGAGUUCAAAAAUACUUCAUAAAUAAUCAUCGUGGAACAAAAUUCAAGAAUGAUCAAAACAUGGAUACAAUCAAAGCUAGUAUCCAUAAUAGAUAUUUUGGACAAAAAAUGAAAAUUUAAUUUUUCUGCGAAUAGUGUCGUAUUCGUGAAUAGUGCCGUAUACGUGAAUAGUAACCCUGACACUAAAAGACAAGAAAUUCACAAGAAAAAUCUUACCAAUAUUCCGGCAUAAUGAUAUUAGAAGAAAUAAUAUCAUUUAAAAAAAAAUAACAUCCCUUACCUCGAAAAGACAGUACUUCUGACUAGAAUACUGGAUAUAUUACUGAAGGGAACUUGUACCGUAUAGCAACACUCAAAGUAUCAAAAUACUCACAAGAAUACACUCGAUAAUAUAGAGAGAGAAAGAGAGAGAACACUAGUUUCUGGUGUGAUUUUCAAUUCUAACCUAAGCACCCUAUUUAUAGAAAAAUGCUUAGAACACCAAAGCAGAAAAUUUAAUAAAAUAUUAAUAUAUUUAUUAUAAAUUCCUACGCACACCAAAGACAUCUGAUUUCAUCCAUUAACAUGUGCAAGUGGGGCCCACCCAAGUGUAAAAAACGUUUUUCUUAAAUAAAACAAUUAAAUCUUUCAAAAAUCAAUUAUUCCGAAACUUUGGAACUUCAAUAAUUCAUAACAAAUAGCCCUUUUAUCAGAAAUAUUCGAAUCUUAUGUCCAUUCCAUAGAAAAUUCAAUUCUCUACAACUUUGUAAGUUUAAGUUUUUCCAAAUUCCAAACAGAAAUUGACCGAAAUCCACAUACGGACGAUUUUACAAGCUAUAAUCAAAUUUCAGUCAAGAAAUGGGGUCCACAAACAUGAAAAACAUAUUUUAAAUAUUUUUAGUAACAAAAAUACUCUUCCUUCUCAUUUAUUCAUAUAUCCCACAUUCAUUGUAAAAAUAUCACCAUUAUUAUAUUAUUAAAAUAUAAUAAUAUAUUUAAAUGAAUUAUUUUAUCAGAAAAGAUAAAAUAUCAAUUUUUUAACAAUUGUCACUUUAAAAUUUUCUCCAUCUAUAUCCACAUAAAAUGAAUAUUUUCCUUAUCAUAUAAAUCAAUAAUUAAUUAUUCACAAAUAAUAUUACAGAAUCACAAUAUUGACAACCAGGCCGUUCCCAGGAAAGAGGGGGCUUUCCAAUAAGAAUUUCUCCUUACUGGCGCGCAAUUAGGUGACCAAACCUCUCCUUAGACAGAACUUUCUAGACAUUGCCAAUAAUGUUAUCUAAUAAUAUUAUUCAGAUAAUAUGAAUUAUUGCUUCGAUAAUGAAAAAUACUGUGUAAUGACAAUUAUUGAAACAACAGCAAUAUAAAAUAUCAACGCAACAAUUAUUGAAUCAAUAAAAUAAAAUACUGAACAGUAAUUACUGUAACCAUUAUUGAGUAGUGCCUUCUUACGUAAGAAUCAAUAAUUGGUGCAAUACCGUGUGCUACUGUGCAACAACGCGUAUUACUGUGUUUUAACCACCGGGUAUUCCAACAGUAUUAACGGUAACAAUUAUGUCGUUAUUUAUAAACAACUUAUACUUGUCGUUUUCUUCAUCCAAUCACUUUUCGUUAUGGGGCCCACACAAGGCUGCGGCGUCGUACGAAUAUUCCUCGACAGCAAGAAUAUUCCACGACCAAACGAAUAUUCUCCGACAACAAUGAAUAUUUUAUAACCACUUGCUUAUUUGAAAUAUUUACGCAUUUUACCCAUAACUAAUCACAUUAAUCAAAUCGACCCUUACUAUUUCAAAAUAAUAAAUAGAGAAAAUUCAAUUUCAUUUAUAACAAAUUUGGGGUCUUACAACCUCCCCUCCUUAUGAAAUUUUGUCCUCGAAAUUGACGUACGUACCUAGUGUUUCGAAAAAGUGAGGAUACCUCACUUUCAUUUCCGUUUCUAACUCCCAUGUCAUUUCCUCAAUAGCAUGGUUCCUCCACAAAACUUUGACUUGUGGUAUGACCUUUGUGUGUAGGACAUGCUCCUUCUUAUCUAAGAUCUUGACAGGUACUUCUUCAUACGUUAAGUCUUCGGCUAUCUCGUCCGGUUCUAACUCAAUAACGUGGUUCGGGUCUUUCACAUAUUUACGAAGCACAGAUAUGUGAAAAACAUUAUGAACACGAGACAUACUUGGAGGUAACACGAGUCUAUAGGCCACAUUUCCAACUCGGUCAAGAAUCUGAAAUGGACCAAUAAAUCAUGGAUUGAGCUUUCCUCUCUUCCCAAAUCUUGUAACUCCCUUCCAUGGAGCAACACGCAACAAUACAUGAUCCCCAAUACUAAAUUCCACGUCCUUUCGAUGAAGAUCCGCAUAACUCUUUUGUCGAUCCCGUGCCAUUUGUAUACGUUGUCGAAUCAUUUGGAUCUUUUCCGUAGUCAUACGUACCAACUCUGGUCCCAACAAUGUUGCUUCACCCACCUCAUCCCAACAUACUGGAGAGCGACACUUUCGUCCAUACAACGCUUCAAAUGGGGCCACACCUAUACUUGUCUAAUAACUGUUGUUGUAGGAGAAUUCCACCAAUGGUAAAUACAUAUCCCAACUCCCUUUGAAGUCUAGGACACAGAGUCUUAAUAGAUCUUCAAGAGUUUGAAUAGUCCUCUCUGAUUGUCCGUCCGUUUGAGGAUGGUAUGCCGAACUAAAUCGCAAAUCCGUGCCCAUAGUUUUUUGCAAGCUAACCCAAAAUUGUGAAGUGAAUCUUAGGUCACGAUCCGAAACUAUGGAUACUGGCAUGCCAUGCAAUCUCACAAUCUCAUUUACGUACAUACGAGCAAGACGUUCAAAAGAAUAAGUCUCCCGUAUCGACAAGAAAUAAGCAGACUUGGUUAAUCUAUCAACAAUAACCCAAAUAACAUCUAUGCCUUGAGAAACUGUGGGAAGACCCGUAACGAAAUCCAUGGUAAUGUGUUCCCACUUCCAUUUCAGAAUCUCAAGUGGUUGCAAUGGACCCUUAGGCACUUGAUGCUCUGCCUUUACACGUUGACAAGUUAAACACCUCGAAAUAAACUUUGCAAUAUCUCUCUUCAUAUUGUUCCACCAAAAUGUAUGUCGAAGAUCAUGAUACAUUUUGGUACUUCCAGGAUGGAUUGCAAAUGGUGUAUUGUGUGCCUCCAUCAUGAUCUUGUAUUUCAAAUCAGAGUCGUUAGGAACACAAGUCUGGAGUGGACUCGAAGUAUUCCUUCUUCAUCGAUUCUUGCUUCUGGAAUAACACCUUCUUGUACUAUCUUCUUCAUACGCAUCAGCUCUGGGUCUGUGGCUUGAGCAACUUUAACUUUAUCGAUUAAAGUCAGUUCUAAGCGUAUACUUGACAUCAUCGCAUGAGUCCCCGGAGUCUUGAAUUCUAUCUUCAUCUUUUGUAAAUCACACAAAAUAGGCCUUUGUGUUAACAACAUCGCACUCGUUCCAGCAUAUGAUCUUCUACUCAACGCGUCAGCUACCACGCUUGCUUUUCGAGGAUGGUAUUGAAUAGUGUGGUCGUAAUCUUUCAACAGCUCGAGCCAACGCCGUUGCCGCAUGUUGAGUUCCUUUUGAGUGAAGAAAUAUUUGAGGUUUUUAUGAUCUGAAUAUAUCUCCAUUUUCUCCCCAUAUAGAUAGUGCCUCCAGAUCUUUAGCGCAAAAACGACUGUCGCCAACUCUAGAUCAUGAGUAGGAUAAUUCCUCUCAUAUUCUUUAAGUUGUCGCGAGGCAUAGGCUAUGACUUUCUCAUGUUGCAUGAGAACACAUCCUAACCCUUUGCCUGAAGCAUCGCUGUAGAUAAUAAAUCCAUCCGAAUCAGACGGUAUUGUCAGAACAGGUGCCAAAAUGAGUCUCCUCUUAAGCUCUUGAAAACUCUUCUCAUAUUCCUCGCUCCAUACGAAUUUUGUAUCGUUCCGAGUUAGCUGAGUUAACGGAGUAGAGAUUCGAAAAAAUCCUUCCACGAAUUUUCGAUAAUAACCAGCUAAGCCUAGAAAGGUACGUACUUCGGUCACCGACUUCGGUUGCUCCCAACUUUGUAUUGCUUCAAUCUUUGCUGGGUUAACAAAUACUCCAUGUUUUGACACCACGUGCCCAAGGAAUUCUACUUCCUCAACCCAGUACUCGCAUUUCUUCAACUUAGCAUAAAGCUUGUUUUCACGAAGCCUUUGGAGUACUAGCUUCAAAUGGCGCUCAUGAUCUUCACGGCUUUUGGAAUAUAUGAGGAUGUCAUCAAUAAAGACAACAACGAACUGAUCCAAAUAUUCCUUGAAUAUUCGGUUCAUUAUAUCCAUGAAAGCCACAGGAGCAUUAGUUAAUCCAAAAGACAUGACUAAGAAUUCAUAAUGCCCGUACCGAGUUCUGAAGGCAGUCUUUGGAAUAUCCUCAGUUCUAAUCUUCAGCUGAUGAUAUCCAGAAUGAAGAUCGAUCUUUGAAAAGAAUUGUGCUCCUUGUAACUAGUCAAACAUGUCAUCAAUACGAGGUAGCGGAUACCUAUUCUUAAUAUUGACAUGAUUUAAUUCUCGAUAGUCAAUACAAAGUCGCAUACUUUCGUCUUUCUUCUUUACAAAUAAAACAGGAGCACCCCAAGGAGAUAUACUAGGACGAAUGAAACCGAUGUCCAACAACUCCUGUAGUUGGACUUUUAACUCCUGAAGUUCAAUAGGAGCCAUUCGAUAUGAGGUUUUAGAAAUGGGCUUUGUACCAGGUUCAAGAUCAAUAAAAAAAUUCAACUUUACGUUCUGGGGAUAGACUGGGAAGUUCUUCAGGAAAUACGUCAGAAAAUUUACUAACAACAAGAAUAUUAUUCAAAUCUGACGUGUCUUUAUUCAAAUCCAUAACAUGGGCUAAGAAAGCUUGACAUCCGUUUUUCAAUAAACGAAUAGCUUUAUGACUUGAUAUGACAGUGAUUGAUUUUAGUGGUUUAGUUGCUUGAAUUCGUACAACAGGUUGGUUAGGAUUAUGAAAACUAACAACCUUACGAAAACAAUCAAUUUUGGCAUGAUGAGUAGUUAACCAAUUAAUCCCUAAAAUCACAUCAAAAUCAAGUAUCUUUAAAGAGACAAUGUCAACAGGUAAUGUGAUGGUGCCAACUUGGAUCAAACAAAAUUUAUAAACAGUGAAAGUGAUGAAAGUUUCUCCUAAUGGAGUCUCCAUAGAUAAAUCAAAGUCUAAUUUCUCUGGAGUCAAGUUUAAACGUUGAGCACAAGCAGGAGAGAUAAAUGAAUGGGUAGCACCGGUAUCUAGUAAGGUAUAAACUUCGCAAGAAUUUAUGAUUAACUUACCCGUGAUCACCUCGUUUGGGUUCCUCGCAUUUUGACCAGUCACGACAAACUCUCUUCCAAGAACCGUUGACUUUGACUUUUUUGGGACAGCCUUUUGAGUCACCAUCCCCGCUGGACUUGGUUUCGCUACAGUACAAUCUCGAGCGAUAUGUCCUUCUUUUCCACAAUUAUAACAUACCUUGAACUGUUAUGGGCUGUUUGGGCUGAUAUGUCCCUCUUUUCCACAUUUAUAACAUACGACCGAUGGUCGUUCUCCUCCCUUAGAACCAGUUGCUGCUGGUGCUGACGUCUUUGCAUUGUCAUUGUUGAAUCUCCUCUUUUUAAAAUCUCCUCUCGACUCGUUUCUUCUAUUUUCAUGACCAUGAUUACCACCAGAGUGGUUACCGCUUUUGUCCGUAUUUUUCUUUCUCCACUGGUUAUCGUUGUUCUGAUGACUGCUGUCACCGGUAUGAUCCUAGUUGUGGUCCCUCGGUUGAACGUACUCGUUAUCUCGCUCUAAUAAUUGAGCCCUGUUGACAACAUCUGAAUAGAGAGAAAAUUUAUGAGAAAUGAGAUAUUGACGUAUGCCGGGUUUUAAACCUCUGAGAAACAUCUGCAUCAUACAUUCUUCAUUCUCCACCAAAUGAGGUGCAAACCUGGAUAACUCUAAAAACUUCGCCUCGUACUGGGACACCGUCAUGUUGUUUUGUUCUAGUCUAAUAAACUUCACUUCCUUCAUAUAACGAAUACUUUCAGGAAAGUACUUGUCAUUGAACAGUUUCUGAAACAUCUCCCAAGACAUGCUGAGUGCGGCUGGAUGGAUAUGCUUCACAGAUUUCCACCAGUAAUUUGCCUUAUUACGGAACAUAAAGGUGGCGAAUGGAACCUUCUGUUCUUCUGUGCAUCCCAAGACGUUAAAUAUAUUGAUAAUUUGCUUGACCCACGUCUCUGCCUUAAUCGGAUCCGGCUUUCCCCAGAAUUCUGGUAGUCCCAACUCUUUGAACUGCUUGGCUGUGACAAACCGUGCGUUGUUAUCAUUUCCACCUGUAUUUUGUACACGAGUCUCCCUCGUCUAAUUUUACAUGAACUGCAAAAAGCUUCUAAACAUCCCGUCGUUCAUCGUCUGUUCAGUGGUGUUGUUUACAGGAGGAACAUUGUCAGCCUGCUGCUCGUUCUCCUCAUUGGUGAGAAAAGGAGUCUCCGCGGUCUCAUUUACUCCACUGUUAACAUUCUCAGUCGCCAUUCUCAAAUACUGCCAUAAAACAAGGGUUAAUUAAAGAAAUCAACAUAUCACAUAAUAUCCCUAUAUACUGACCAACCAACAAAUAAGCUUAGGUAAGACACACUAGCGAAGGAUUUACUCGUCUCUCCCCUCCUAGUUCUAUUCCCCGAUCUCCGCCAGAGAUCAUAUUCCUAAGCUCUGAUACCAACUGUGACGCCCCCAAAAUAGGUAUACAACACCCAUUCUGAGUCGCCAAAUACAUGGUACAAAAACAACUACAAUUUUAUUAAUACAAUUGUCAUGCAAAAUACGACAACACAUAAACUGUGAGUUUAAAUACAAAUAUUGUCAUCUAUACAAUAUCCACACUCAAAUAAGUUCUCAUUACAAUUAUUGAUACACUAUUUUACAAAAUAGUGAGAACUAAUAAAACAACUUCUAGAACCAUCAUUCCAUAUCCCGACUAGUACUCGCUACAUUCUCGCCUCCUGAGAAGAAAAAUGGAACAAAAAAAGGGUGAGCUCAACUAGCCCAGUAAAAAAUAUUAUGACUAAGAUAAUAUAGAACAAAUUAUUGUUAGUCUUCAACAGGAAAAAAUCUGAUAGAAUAUAAUAGACAACAAAUUUCAGAUCAAUAUUCGCAGCGGAAAUAAUAAUUCAUAGAAGAGUUACGUAGAGAAUGAAAUCUACUAUUAUCUAUGAAUUUAAAAGUCCAUCAUCAAUAUUUUUUUCCUGCAACAUUAAUCAAUAUACAUCAUAGAUCAAAUAUUCAUCUUUGCACUACAGGCCAAAUAUAUUCAUCAGUUGGUUAUGUUCAUCUCAACACCUGUACAUGUUUGCACUACGGCCAAAGAUAUUCAUAAGAAAAUCAACCAUCUUUGCACUAUAGGCCAAAGAUAUUCAGUAAUAUUAUCAUUUAGGACUGAGGAUGAUGAAAAAUAUUUUAAAAAAAACGAAUCUAGUGAAACAAAAGAACAAAUAUUAAGGAUUCGUACUUUAAACAAUCCGAGUUCAAAAAUACUUCAUAAAUAAUCAUAGUGGAGCAAAAUUCAAGAAUGAUCAAAACAUGGAUACAAGCAAAACUAGUAUCCAUAAUAGAUAUUUUGGACAAAAAAUAAAAAUUAAUUUUUCUAUGAAUAGUGUCGUAUUCGUGAAUAGUGCCAUAUACGUGAAUAGUGCCGUAUACGUGAAUAGUAACCCCGACACUAAAAGACAAGAAAUUCAAAAGAAAAAUCUUACCAAUAUUCCAACAUAAUGAUAUUAGAAGAAAUAAUAUCAUUUUAAAAAAAAUAACAUCCCCUACUUCGAAAAGACAGUACUUCUGACUGGAAUACUGAAUAUAUUACUGAAGAAAACUUGAACCGUAUAGCAACACUCAAAGUAUCAAAAUACUCACAAGAAUACGCUCGAUAAUAUAGAGAGAGAAAGAGAGAGAAAACUUAUUUCUGGUGUGAUUUUCAAUUCUAACCUAAGCACCCUAUUUAUAGGAAAACGCUUUGAAUACCAAAGCAGAAAAUUUAAUAAAAUAUUAAUAUAUUUAUUAUAAAUUCCUACGCACACCAAAGACAUCUGAUUUCAGCCAUUAACAUGUGCAAGUGGGGCCCACCCAAGUGUAAAAAAUAUUUUUCUUAAAUAAAACAAUUAAAACUUUCAAAAAUCAAUUAUUCCGAAACUUUGGAGCUUCAAUAAUUCAUAACAAAUAGCCAUUUUAUCAGAAAAAUUUGAAUCUUAUGUCCAUUCCAUAGGAAAUUCAAUUCUCUACAACUUUGUAAGUAUAAGUUUUUCCAAAUUCCAAACAGAAAUUGACCAAAAUUCACAUACGGACGAUUUUACAGGCUAUAAUCAAAUUUCAGUCAAGAAAUGGGGUCCACAAACAUGAAAAACAUGUUUUAAAUAUUUUUAGUAACAAAAAUACUCUUCCUCCUCAUUUAUUCAUAUAUCCCACAUUCAUUGUAAAAAUAUCACCAUUAUUAUAUUAUUAAAAUAUAAUAAUAUAUUUAAAUGAAUUAUUUUAUCAGAAAAGAUAAAAUAUCAUUUUUUUAACAAUUGUCACUUUAAAAUUUUCUUCAUCGAUAUCUACAUAAAAUGAAUAUUUUCCUUAUCAUAUAAAUCAAUAAUUAAUUAUUCACAAAUAAUAUUACAGAAUCACAAUAUCGACAACCAGGCCAUUCCCAGAAAAGAGGAAGUUUUUCAAUAAGGAUUUCUCCUUACUAGCGCACAAUUAGGUGACCAAACCUUUCUUUAGACAGAACUUUUUAGACAUUGUCAAUAAUGCUAUCUAAUAAUAUUAUUCAAAUAAUAUGAAUUAUUGAUUUGAUAAUGAAAAAUACUGUGUAGUGACAAUUAUUGAAACAAUAAUAUAAAAUAUCAACGUAGCAAUUAUUGAAUCAAUAAAAUAAAAUAUUGAACAGUAAUUACUGUAAUAAUUAUUGAGUAGUGCCUUCUUACGUAAGAAUCAAUAAUUGGUGCAAUACCGUGUGCUACUGUGUUUUAACCACCGGGUAUUCCAACAGUAUUAACGAUAACAACUACGCCGUUAUUUAUAAACAACUUAUACUUGUCUUUUUCUUCAUCCAAUCACUUUCCGUUAUGGGGCCCACACAAGGCUGCGGCGUCGUACGAAUAUUCCUCGACAGCAAGAAUAUUCCACGACCAAACGAAUAUUCCCCGACAACAAUGAAUAUUUUAUAACCACUUGCUUAUUUGAAAUAUUUACGUAUUUUACCCAUAACUAACCACAUUAAUCAAAUCAACCCUUACUAUUUCAAAAUAAUAAAUAGAGAAAAUACAAUUUCAUUUAUAAUAAAUUUGGGGUCUUACAACUAGGACUAUAUAGGACUACGCCUAUUUGUAACCGAAUUCAACCUACAUGAAAUAGCUGGAAAGGGUUUAUGCUCCGAAUUAUGAUGGGACUGAGACUGCGAAAACCUCUCAGGUGAGGAAACAUCACUCAACCUAUUGCUCUUUGAUGAAGUAGGAGAGCCUUCUAAAUCUUCAGACUGGUUGGACAUGAUAUGAAGUUUCUUUAGAAGGUUCUUCAUAUUAUUUGUGCUAAGCUAUACAAGUCAAUGCUAGCGGAAAAAAAAUCUAGCCAUAAAACUCUCCAUUGUCUUGGACCAAACAUGAGAGCAGUGACAAAACCACAAGUACAAUGAUAGAUUUCAAGCCAACCCAGAAAGGCAGUUUAGGUCAACAACAAGAAACAUAAACCCAUCAAACAUAAACUUUUUAGUUUGAUGAUCAUUUACAAGAAACAAACACAAUUAUGUCUUAAAACUUAAAAGAUAUGGAACAAAAUGAUCAUUAAGAUUCAACUAUACAAUAAUUUUCUCCAUCUUUAACACAUAUUUUGGAAGUCGGAGUUUCUUGUGGUUUACAAUUUCCGUUAUAUCUACGGGAUCAUUAUAAAACCUUUGUUUAAAUUUGGUGUAUAAAAGUAAUAGUUUGGAGAACUUAGCGAAAUUCAACUCGAAUACUAUAGGCCUCAGCAGCUGGUAUAGUCAAAAAAAUAUUAUGUUUUGCGGGACAUAUUGACGACGGCUAAGCCGUCGAUAAUGACAUUAUUCUCGACGACAGUAUUCCCGAUGCUAAUGAGGCCGUCGUCAAUGACCAUAUAUUUGAAUUCACCACCACCGCGUUUCCAAACAUAUGUUCAUUUAUGAAUGCCACCUUGUGCUCCCUCAAUUUUUUGGUUGGACGCCCUUUCCGUCCAUUGUUAUUGACUAAACUCUUUAGCGACUCUGUAACUACCUAUGAAGAAAAAUAAUUCAAUUUAUUUGCUUGCUAGGGUGACUAAUAAUUUAUCUUGUACAAUACGAUUGGUUGUGGGUAGUCCAAAUAUCAGGUUGUGGCUAGUACAAAUAUCUAUAUUGUGGUUCUCUAUCAUUUGCAAGUAUUUCAAAGCUUGAAGGCAGGAUUGUGGGCCUGUAUUUUUAAGAAGAAUCAUACUAUGGCAUUGAACGAAACAGAAAACUUAAAGAGGAUAUAGGAAUUGUUGGAAUGUAGGCCAGAUAUAGAUUUUGAGAUUGUGCUAAACAGAGUCUCACUUUGAAUCAAUCCUAUACAAAGGCUGAAUUCAAGCAAGAGUUCGGGAAUUUGUUAGGAAGUGGUAGUUCUCAAAAUUUCAGCGCUUAGCCGAACUGAUGUUCCCAUGGGGCAGGUUAUUUGAUUAUUCUUGAGCCUGAUCGAUCUCUAAAUUACUUUGCUUUUGACAUCUACAAUGUUUUGGGACUUGAUGCAUAUCCUUUUAACUUGGAAAAUUAUGUGAAAUUCAUGACGAACAAUCUAGAGAGAACCCUGGUGUUGGAUAAACUUCUAUGACCUUAUGCUCCUUUGCGCAGAGGAUGUAAUACCUGCAGAAUAUUCUAGUUGCAUAAGAUGUUCUACCUGCCAGCGGGAAGGUAUGCUUGUUCUCAUGAUGAGCCCUAGUUAGCGUGUAUGCUAUUAUUUUGUGUCAUUCUAUGGUUAAUUUUGGGUUUUUUUGUGUUUAAUUUUGCCUUGCUUUGUAAGCAAAGUAAGUAAAGGACCUGUAAAUGUGUUUCUGAAAUUUUCAAUCCCUCUCCCAUGGUGAUAUUGUGGUCUUAGAUAUUUUAGGGAAGUAUGUUCUUUUAUUGUUUGCAACACAUUCUUCCUAUGCAUCUAGAAUUUUUUGCGAGAAAUUAAGAAAAUUUAUUCUGCACUGCUAGAGGCAGAUAACUGCUUUGAGAGUAUUUACAUCUCCUUGGAUUGCGAUAAUCCCUAUCUUCCUUCCCCAAUUGCAUCCAUGAAAUGUCAUGGUUGGUCUCCACUCUUUUGUCCUGAAUUUUUCUGCUUCUGUGCUCGAAAAGGUGUUCCUGUUUGAAUAUCCUAAUACACCCCUUCCUGCCAUUGCAGCCUUUGGGCCAAGUGGACAACUUUAAGUAAAAGAAUCCAACUUAGCUAUCAAAGAAAAAUGGCGUUCCAACUAUCUGUUCAUCGACUCAUAUUCAUGUGAAGAAGAGGUUCACAGGGAAUUUGUCAAUGGCUACAAAUGGAACAUGGGACUUAUUUUCCCUGUUAUCUCCUCCAGAAAGUAGAUUUGCACUUGAUGUGAUGGAUGAAUUACUCAAUGGUUUAGAUAUGUUGUUUGAGCAAGAUUGUGUUUUAAGUUUUAUGUUUGGUAAGCAACAAAGCUAAUAAUAGUAGUGGGCAGUUAAUAUAUGGUGUUUGAUCAAUUUUUGUGCGAUAAAAUAAGUAACUCCAUUCGUUACAAAAUUAGAUAUAUAUGUUUGUUUUAAAAUUAGGGAUACACUUCUAUUUUGAGAUAUAAAAUACCAUUAUAAUGUCCAAUGUACCCUUACAGAGGUUACUUGGAUAGAAUGGUUUGCAAUGAACAUUUCAUUGUCAUUUGUCCCCAUAAUUUGCCCCUUGAGUCCGGUGUUUCUCCUAUGUGUUGGGAUCACAAGUGACAUCCCUAAUGUAUUUUAGGCUUGAUAAGCUGGGGUUGGAUGUGGGUGUGAUUAGUAUAGGUGAGUUAGGCCAUGUAUCUGUCUAUUUCGCUAAAGGCUUCUGGGCAAGUCACCGCCAUUAGAUUAGUUGACUACAUUGAUUAAUUAAUCAGGGUGACCAAAAUUAAAAUGGGUUUAAAAUUUUCAAAAUUUUAACAUCUCUACGAUGCGGAAUUUCUAAUUCAAAAUUUCAUAAAACAUAGCAUGCAUACCUGUAAGCACUUGGAGCGUAAAAUUGAGAACUGCAACUUUCAUUUCCUAUACCUCUCAUACCAAAAGUAGAGUUCUGGAUCUGAAUCUUCGAGAGAGUGAUUACUAUUUAGCUCAGUCUGAAAACUGAGCACUUGAUCACUCACGUCCCACAAAAACAUUCCUUCUUUUGUUAGCAAGUUGCCAAGCCUUUUGACAGAGGAAGAAGAAACCAUGGUGUUUGAUUAUUAUGUGUAAGCUUCGGAGUCUCUCUCUCUUAUAUCAAUUGGAGAUCUAGGGUUAACAUUUCCACAAUUUUUC
rnacentral:lncRNA from 1 species